GGGGACGAGCGGAGGGAGGAUCGGCGGCGGCGGCGGAGGAGGAGGAGGAGGAGAGAGAGAGGGUACAACGGCGGCAGCUGGGCAUGUCGACGAGGAGGGGUACGAUCGGGGAGGUGGAACGUAAGAAGGUCAGCAGGCAGGUGCGCCGGUAGUUGUCGUGCCGUGCCAUCCCCGCCAGUCCCGCGGACGAUGUUCGACGAACUGGAAGAUCGCGACGAAGGAGCCCAGACGGCCGCAACGACGGACGCGGAAGAGGUCGUGGUGAAGCGAUGUUCGACGAACUGGAAGAUCGCGACGAAGGAGUCUACACGGCGGCGACGACGGACGCGGAAGAGGUCGCGGCGAAACCAGUGGACGCCGUUGAGGCUGGUUACCAGAAGUAUCAGGAGCACGGGAGGACAGCUACCCCUCCUCUCCUCCCCGCUCCGACCUCGAGGUACGCCGUCGUGUGUGUGGCAACCCACCUCCUCUCCGGUCGAUGCCCCGUUCCUCGCCACCCGCGUUUCGAGAUCCACCGCGAGGAUAGUGCUACGCCACUCGACGUUCCCUCCCCAUCCUACAGCCACUGUGGUCUUCCUCGUCCGUCCACUCCUCCCGUUCGUUGUGUCCUUCCGUACAUAAAGAAGUGUGAUAAAAGUGAUAAAACGUUGAACAUAACGUAAAAGUACCUAUUAGGAAAACGUGAAGCCAAAAUAGAUUAGGCAAGGUUCGAAUAUUUAUUACUACAAACCAGAAGACGAUAAAACCGUCUACUAACUAAUUCCUCCUAUUCUAACAUUUCGAACAUCAUGAGAUAUAGUUGUUCGCCCAGAUCGUAGAUGUAAGAGACUGUGAAACAUAUAAAAGUACCUAUCCCAAACCCACCGGACUACUCUCGUCGGGUCACCAAUGUGGAGACGUUGGAGCGGUUGCAACUGUUAGUGACUACGGUACGCCUUCUACGACGGGAAUAAAGAGUGUAGGACUUUCAGUGUAAUGUAGAUACUUGGUCUUCUUGAUCUCUCGACGCAGCUGUAUACUUCUGCGCUCUCGAUUUCGUUUAUCUGACGCUCCAAUAGUCCUAUGGCCUCUUUACCCAAUACGAAAUCAGGAACAUUUACCGUGACCAAAAAGACCACACUCAUUUCGGACUGUCACCAUUACACUUCGACCCUGAAGGGAUAGUCCGCACUGUAACAUCGGUUUAGGUACUCCUCAGCCUCCGUCAAUGUCGUUGAUUGGUACUUCGCUGCCGCCUCUAGGUCAAGUAGAGUGUCAAAUCCAGACUGGUCGUGUUCCACCGUUGUCGUCAUCACCUCUUCCGUACUUCUCCGGGUGUAGACUUUUAGGCAAGACGACUGGCUAUUUCCCUCUACCAGAGUCGUAGGUAACACUGUUACAACAGGUCUUGUACCUGAGACCUUUGACUUUUCAUUGUCUAAAACGAAGGUCCGCGUGUUUCCGGUGGCUAGCCUAGUCGCGCUUCUUUGGACAAGCCUAGUGGAGUCGUUGCCUAGUUGGAGACGUGGAUGUAGGUAAAGCUGUCUAGUAAUCAGUUUCGUCCAACCAGAAAACCCCAAGGAAAAACAGCGACUACCGAACUGCGUGUGACCUAGUAGGAUAGUCUUCCCAAACCGAAUGGAGACAAACUCUCCUCUUUAGACCUCCCUAUCUACAAGUCCCAGCACUACACUAGGUGGGACAGGUCUCCCAUUAAAGACGCACACUAAACCCAGCCGUGGCAACAACAGUGGCCCGUCUUACAGGCUGACCGGUACCCGUCCGAGCCUCGGGAGACGCUCGUCCACUUCCUCGAAUUAAAGACUCCACUAAGACCAGUGGAGGCUGCGGCAGCCGCAGCCCUCCGUCUCCGAGUUCAUGGCUUUCGAGUAGUUGUUGUCAAAGCGGCUAGACGUCUUGGGUGUCAAACUGGACCUACCCUUCCGGGCGCGACGGUAGCCGGUCUCACCGGAGUACCGAUAGAUGCUAUGUAACAAAUUGGUCAUAAAAGUCCAGAUGAUGUAACUUUCGUUUGAUUUUCUAAUGUAACUGGGUCUAAUACUAUGUGAGUUCCAGUCCGAACGUUUGUCACUAGAUGUGCGGUUAACAGUGUAGUACGAUCCUUGGCUGUUCUCUCGGUGGCAUUGUUGGUUGACCGAACUCAAGGCGGCGGAACGUUUUUAGGUACUUCCUCUGUAGACACGGAAAGCAAAGUUCCAGUGGUAUUUCGUCACGGACCAACAGUAGCACGUAACGGAAAUCUACUUGGUAGCUGUAGUUGCCUUUAGCAUAGAUUUAUAGUAGAUCGUAAGAUUCCUGAUGAUUAGUUCGAGACAUUAUCUACUUUGGAAGGAGAUAAAAAGUGCUACGAUAGACAACGAAAACUUGUCGAUGGUGGAUAUACGAAAAUGGAUAUAUUGGAGUCAACAACAAGGAGUAGCUAGAUAAUUAUACGUAUUACGGUG
rnacentral:rRNA from 1 species